rnacentral:rRNA from 1 species
AGUGAACGCUGGCGGUAGGCCUAACACAUGCAAGUCGAACGGCAGCACAGUAAGAGCUUGCUCUUACGGGUGGCGGGUGGCGGACGGGUGAGGAAUACAUCGGAAUCUACUUUUUCGUGGGGGAUAACGUAGGGAAACUUACGCUAAUACCGCAUACGACCUACGGGUGAAAGCAGGGGAUCUUCGGACCUUGCGCGAUUGAAUGAGCCGAUGUCGGAUUAGCUAGUUGGCGGGGUAAAGGCCCACCAAGGCGACGAUCCGUAGCUGGUCUGAGAGGAUGAUCAGCCACACUGGAACUGAGACACGGUCCAGACUACUACGGGAGGCAGCAGUGGGGAAUAUUGGGCAAUGGGCGCAAGCCUGAUCCAGCCAUACCGAGUGGGUGAAGAAGGCCUUCGGGUUGUAAAGCCCUUUUGUUGGGAAAGAAAAGCAGCAGGUUAAUACCCCGCUGUUCUGACGGUACCCAAAGAAUAAGCACCGGCUAACUUCGUG